UGGACCCAAGAACUGAGCAU
rnacentral:snRNA from 1 species